AUCAUUUCCUUCCCUCUCCCAUUUCUUCUUCAUUCCUUUUCUUUAUCGCUGCUAGGUUUCUUCUAUCUCCCACCCCUUCUUUUCUUCCCUCUCCACGGCGCAUCCAGGUUUUUUUCCUCUCUGUAGCAAGCAAGUAGUGGCUCAAAGGUAACCCUAUUUCUCAUUUCUUCCUUUUCUGCAACACCGCGCACAACCUCGCCAGGCGACGAGCAACCAUUUUACAAGCGAUCACACUCGAGAGGGCUGCAACCUCGCCAGGCCGCUGGUUCACUAGCGGCAUAUUCGCGAAUGGCUACACACGAAGGGGUCGAUGCCUCACUAGGUAACCCAUUCACAAAUAGGCACAUACGAGGGGGACGAUGCCGGGCAGUGACCUAUAGCGAGGUAGCGACAUUGCUAUCUUCUUCUGAAACUCUCGCCCUUUUCCAUCUCCAUAUACUAGUAGGAAGCUUGCCCUUUUCCUCACGCAGCACCGAGUCGAAUUGAUCGGUCUUUCCUUUCCCGACAUUCAUCUUCUCACAGGUUUGUGUCUUAAUCCUCGAUUACCCCUCCCCGCUUUUCAAUUCUUCCCCUCAUGGCACGGUCUCGUAGCGCUCUUGCUGGAGCAUGUCCGAAGGAUAUGUUGCGAGCACUGCAUUCUUCUCUUUUUCUAACUAUUUUCCUUGUUUGUUAGUUGGCACAUGUUCCCCUCCCCUUUUUAAUUUCUCCUCUCAUGGCAUAGUUGUGUUGGUCUUGAUGCUUGUUGUCAUUGUGCUCAUGCUGGUGCACAGUUGAAGGAUCAAUUUUCUUCUUCAGACGUGUUCUUCAAAGAUCUGAAAUCCUUGAAGAAGGAGUGUGAAGAGGCAUUGGUUUUGGAUCCUGCUUUUAGGCAUGCACACCAAAGGUUGGCAUCGUUGCUUAUAAGGUUAUUACACUUUAAAAAUGUUCCAUUCUUUCUAAUUCAAGUUUGCAAAUUGAUUGCUACUGGUCCUAGUGUUAUGCUGAGAUAUUGAUAUUGCUUAAUUGCAUAUGAUUCAUUUCCUUGGAGCUAGUCACCCACUACUGUUAUUAAUUAUGACAUGUAAUUUAUUUAUGAAUACUUCUAUUACAUAAUUAAUAGGUAUAAUCGAAGAACUAUCUCAAUUUUAUCAAAUUCUAUUCUAAUUGAUAAGGUUGCAUCUUUUUUUUACGGUAGAGUUGUCUUAUGAUUUUUUCAUUGUUUAUAUUUGUUAUUCAAAGUUGCAACAUCAAUCCCUUGUCCUUACUACAGUCAUUUUGCUUGAUCACAAUUCUAAAUUGUAAAAGGGAUCUUUUUGUAGAAUUGUGAUGGAACAACUUUAAAUAAAUUACUACCCAUAUAUUUGUCUUACAUUCUUCUAUUUUAACUCACAAUAUUGGUAGAUAGCCUUGGAGUGCCAUUAAUUGCAGUAAUUAAAAUACAUCCUUGUGUUGCUCAAUAAGAAAACAAAAAAAUAACAUUGUUAUUGCCAUAUAUUAAUGUUGCUCCGGAUGCACUUAUGAUUAAUUGAAUUCUAGACAUACAAUCAAGUGUAUGUUUUGUUUACUAUGAUUAGUAGAUCACACUGUAACAAAUAUUGUGAUUGAUCAGAAAUAAAUAAUAACACGUGAAGUUUUUUAUCAUGUUAUAUGAACUCAAGAACUUGAGAAGAAAAAGAAAUUGUUGUUUUUUGUGCUUAAUUUGUUUUAUCUUUUAAAUUUCAUUAUUCUUUCUUUUGACUCAUUGUGAUAAAUGAUGUUGAUGAGUAAAUCUUAUACUGAAAUAUGCAUUCUUCUAAAUAAACUGUUUAUUUUGGUCAAUAGGUUAGGUUAAGUUGAGAAUGCUAGGAAACAUCUCUUGCUAGGUUAAGUUUACAUUCUGUUGAAUUUAGGGAGCUUCAAGCAGUGGAAAGACAUUUGGCCAUGUGUGCAGAAGCCCGAAAGGUUGUAGAUUGGAAGAGUGACCUUAAGGAGAGUGAUGCUGCCUUCAUUGAAGGAGCAAAUGCUUCAUCAUUUGUAAUGGCUUCAAAAUGUGAAGCGUAACUUUAACUUCAUCAACUUGAAGAAGCUGAUAUGGUCAUAUCCAAUGUAUUUAAACUUGAUAGUGUAAAUUCACCAUCCUCAAAUACUAAGUUUUUUGGUAUGCUGGCAAAUUCAUACUUGUAUGCUGUUAAUGUCGAAGUUGACAUGGCUCGAGGAAGGUUUGAAAAUGUCUUCACCAUAAGCAAAGUAGAUUCAUCCUAGAAAUGUGGAGAUAUAUACAUUAUUGAACAACACAAGAGCUAUAUCUCGAGCACGAGCAUUAGGCAAUGAACUCUUUAACUCAAGAAAAUUUAUGGAAGCAAGCUUAGCAUAUGGGAAGGACUCAAGUAUGACCCUGCAAACCUUGUUCUUUACUGCAACUCGGAUAGUACGAAAAGGCUGUUGAGGAUUGCAACAAAGCUUAGUAUUCACGUCAACUACAUGAAUGCCCUUCUUAGUUGUGCUACCUCAUAUUCAGAGGUUAUAUGAUUCUCAUCUAAAAUUUAAUAUUUUGAGUAUAGUGUAUAAUUAGUUUUGGAUGUAAAGACUCAUCAUUAGUUUGCAUUUGUAACUUUGACCCAAAUAUUUAUAGGAUGAAUUUAGAUGAUCUACUUGCAUUUUAAA